rnacentral:rRNA from 1 species
GUACACACCGCCCGUCACRCCAUGGGAGUGGGUUGCUCCAGAAGUAGAUAGCYUAACCGCAAGGRGKGCGCUUACCACGGUGGGAUUCAUGACUGGGGUGAAGUCGUAACAAGGUAGCCGUAGGUGAACCUGCAGAAGGAUCA